CCCUUAGAUGUUCUGGGCCGCACGCGCGCUACACUGAUGCAUUCAACGAGCUUUCUCCCUGUUCCGAGAGGAAUGGGUAAUCUUUGAAUAUGCAUCGUGCUGGGGAUAGAUUAUUGCAAUUAUUAAUCUUGAACGAGGAAUGCCUAGUAAGCGCGAAUCAUUAGUUCGCGCUGAAUACGUCCCUGCCCUUUGUACACACCGCCCGUCGCUCCUACCGAUUGGGUGAUCCGGUGAAUAAUUCGGAUUGCGACAGUUCAAGGGGUUCGCUCCUUUGCUGUUGUGAGAAGUUUUGUGAACCUUAUCACCUAGAGGAAGGAGAAGUCGUAACA
rnacentral:rRNA from 1 species